rnacentral:rRNA from 1 species
UACGGAGGAUGCAAGCGUUAUCCGGAAUGAUUGGGCGUAAAGCGUCCGUAGAUGGUCGUUUCAAGUCUGCUGUCAAAGACCGGGGCUUAACCCCAGAAAGGCGGUGGAAACUGAACAGCUAGAGAGAGGUAGGGGUAGAGGGAAUUCCCAGUGUAGCGGUGAAAUGCGUAGAUAUUGGGAAGAACAUCAGUGGCGAAAGCGCUCUACUGGACCUUAUCUGACAUUGAGGGACGAAAGCUAGGGGAGCGAAUGGG